CCUACGGGAGGCAGCAGUAAGGAAUAUUGGUCAAUGGGCGGAAGCCUGAACCAGCCAUGCCGCGUGCAGGAAGACGGCCCUAUGGGUUGUAAACUGCUUUUGUACCGGAAUAAACCCUUCUACGUGUAGGAGGCUGAAUGUACGGUAAGAAUAAGGAUCGGCUAACUCCGUGCCAGCAGCCGCGGUAAUACGGAGGAUCCGAGCGUUAUCCGGAUUUAUUGGGUUUAAAGGGUGCGUAGGCGGCCUGUUAAGUCAGGGGUGAAAGACGGUAGCUCAACUAUCGCAGUGCCUUUGAUACUGACGGGCUUGAAUGUACUUGAGGUAGGCGGAAUGUGACAAGUAGCGGUGAAAUGCAUAGAUAUGUCACAGAACACCAAUUGCGAAGGCAGCUUACUAAGGUAUGAUUGACGCUGAGGCACGAAAGCGUGGGGAUCAAACAGGAUUAGAUACCCUGGUAGUCCACGCCCUAAACGAUGAAUACUCGAUGUUGGCGAUAUACGGCCAGCGUCUAAGCGAAAGCGUUAAGUAUUCCACCUGGGGAGUACGCCGCAAGGUGAAACUCAAGGAUGNGNGNGNGAGNGCGAGCGACACGAGGAGAG
rnacentral:rRNA from 1 species